rnacentral:tRNA from 1 species
UCCGACGUAGCUCAAUGGUAGAGCAAUCGGCUGUUAACCGAUUGGUUGUUGGUUCGAAUCCAGCCGUCGGAG